rnacentral:rRNA from 1 species
UACGUAGGGGGCAAGCGUUGUCCGGAAUUAUUGGGCGUAAAGAGCGUGUAGGCGGUCCGGUAAGUCAGCUGUGAAAGUCAAGGGCUCAACCCUUGAAUGCCGGUUGAUACUGUCGGGCUAGAGUCCGGAAGAGGCGAGUGGAAUUCCCCGGUGUAGCGGUGAAAUGCGCAGAUAUCGGGAGGAACACCAAUGGCGAAGGCAGCUCGCUGGGACGGUACUGACGCUGAGACGCGAAAGCGUGGGGAGCAAACAGGG